UACGUAGGGGGCGAGCGUUGUCCGGAUUUAUUGGGCGUAAAGAGCUCGUAGGCGGUUCGAUAAGUCGGACGUGAAAUCUCCACGCUCAACGUGGAGGGGCCGUUCGAUACUGUCGUGACUCGAGUCCGGUAGGGGAGUGUGGAAUUCCCGGUGUAGCGGUGAAAUGCGCAGAGAUCGGGAGGAACACCCGUAGCGAAGGCGGCACUCUGGGCCGGUACUGACACUGAGGAGCGAAAGCGUGGGGAGCGAACAGG
rnacentral:rRNA from 1 species